AGGUACGAUAGAUACAAAGGUUGUUCACUUGGGUCACUAGAUACCGCUUAGCGAUGAAAAGGGAUGAGAAGAGUGUUGAACCUCCUAGUAGAGAAGAAUUUUGUUUUAAGAACUUUCCCGAGUGUGUGGAAUAUAGAGAUGAGAUAGGGUUGUCACCACCUACUGACUACCACAAACAAACGAUGGGGCAAGCCACAGGCACAAGU
rnacentral:lncRNA from 1 species